UACGGAGGGUGCAAGCGUUAAUCGGAGUUACUGGGCGUAAAGCGUGCGCAGGCGGUUUGUUAAGUCCGUUGUGAAAGCCCCGAGCUCAACUUGGGAAUUGCAGUGGAUACUGGCAGGCUGGAGUACGGUAGAGGAAGGUGGAAUUCCCGGUGUAGCAGUGAAAUGCGUAGAUAUCGGGAGGAACACCAGUGGCGAAGGCGGCCUUCUGGACCAGUACUGACGCUCAUGCACGAAAGCGUGGGGAGCAAACAGG
rnacentral:rRNA from 1 species